AUUGAACGCUGGCGACAUGCCUUACACAUGCCAGUCGAACGGCAGCACGGGUGCUUGCCCCUGGUGGCGAGUGGCGAACGGGUGAGUAAUACAUCGGAACAUGUCCUGUAGUGGGGGAUAGCCCGGCGAAAGCCGGAUUAAUACCGCAUACGAUCUACGGAUGAAAGCGGGGGACCUUCGGGCCUCGCGCUAUAGGGUUGGCCGAUGGCUGAUUAGCUAGUUGGUGGGGUAAAGGCCUACCAAGGCGACGAUCAGUAGCUGGUCUGAGAGGACGACCAGUCACACUGGGACUGAGACACGGCCCAGACUCCUACGGGAGGCAGCAGUGGGGAAUUUUGGACAAUGGGCGAAAGCCUGAUCCAGCAAUGCCGCGUGUGUGAAGAAGGCCUUCGGGUUGUAAAGCACUUUUGUCCGGAAAGAAAUCCUUGGCCCUAAUACGGUCGGGGGAUGACGGUACCGGAAGAAUAAGCACCGGCUAACUACGUG
rnacentral:rRNA from 1 species